CCAAUCCGACAGGGGUGCUCCGUAUAGCCGGGGCUGAGAUGACGGCGCGAAGCCGUUGGACCCUCAAGCUGAUCUGGGUAAUGCCAGCGGAGCGAGGUGGCGAUGUUUUCCG
rfam:Microvirga lotononidis strain WSM3557 genomic scaffold Micloscaffold_13, whole genome shotgun sequence.